rnacentral:rRNA from 1 species
UACGGAGGUGGCGAGCGUUGUCCGAAGUUACUGGGCGUAAAGCGCGCGUAGGCGGGUAGGUAAGUGAGGGGUGAAAGGCUGAGGCUCAACCUCAUGUUUGUCCUCUCAUACUGUCUAUCUUGAGUGAGGUAGGGAGAAGUGGAAUGGCUGGUGUAGCGGUGAAAUGCGUAGAUAUCUGGAGGAACACCGGUGGCGAAGGCGGCAUCCUGGACCGACACUGACGCUGAGGAGCGAAAGCCAGGGGAGCAAACGGG